rnacentral:rRNA from 1 species
CCUACGGGUGGCUGCAGUGAGGAAUAUUGGUCAAUGGACGAGAGUCUGAACCAGCCAAGUAGCGUGAAGGAUGACUGCCCUAUGGGUUGUAAACUUCUUUUAUAAAGGAUUACAACGAGGCAAGUGUGCCUUUUUGCAUGUACUUUAUGAAUAAGGAUAUGCUCACUCCGUGCCAGCCGCUGCGGUAAUACGGAGGAUCCGAGCGUGAUCCGGAUGUAUUGGGUUUAAAGGGAGCGUAGCUGGGUUGUUAAGUCAGUUGUGAACGUUUGCGGCUCAACCGUAGAAGUGCAAUUGAUACUGGGAGUCUUGAGUACAGUGGAUGUGUGUGGAAUUCGAGGUGUAGCGGUGAAAUGCGUAGAUAUCACGAAGAACCCCGAUUGCGAAGGCAGCUUACUAAACUGUGACGGACAUUGAGGCUCGAAAGUGUGGGUAUCAAACAGGAUUAGAUACCCGAGUAGUC